AAUCAGCAGAGAGUAACGCACGUACUUGCGGAAGUGACGGCAGUUCCGUGUCCAGUGGGGCGGUGGGAGCGAUGAGGGUCUGAGUCGGUGGUAGCCGAUGUGUGAAGAUGGAGUUUCCCGGAGGAAAUGACAAUUACCUGACGAUCACAGGGCCUUCGCACCCCUUUCUGUCAGGGGCCGAGAUAUGUAAGCAUCUUUGCUUAUAAACUGUAAUUCCCAAACCAGCCCCUCCCUCCAAAUGGCCCAGGAAUUGGACAGAGAAAGAAAGGAAAGCUAAGUUAGAAGGUAACUGCAUAUCAUGUUCCUGUUUUCUCCUUCUGUGUCCAAACCACUUCUUUCUAAUAUUUGCUACCGUUUUAGCUUUGUUUUAUAUUUAACAGUCUAGAGUGUGAAGAGUGUGAUCUGGUUAUGUAAUAGAUUCAGUAAAAUAAAAUAACUUUAGAUAUUCAUUAUUGGAUUUUACCCAUAAUUUUAUAGAUCAUUUGUAGUGAAAGUUUUUAGUGAAUCUCUGUUUUUAUGAUAGCAUGUGGUUUACCCUUAUUUUUUUUAUCCUCUGUAUUCUUGAUAAUUGCAGUUAUCUAACUAGUCAUUAAAGGAAGAAAUAAAACAGAACCUAGAAAACCACCGUGAAAGCCAUAGGUACUGAAUAACAAAGCUUUUCCACAUCCCAAGGGGUUGCGUAUAGAAAGAAUACC